GAUCCAAAGAUGAACGAAUGUCUUCGAGCAUGACACGAGGGUGAGUAAUUAAUGAUAGAAUUUUUAUUAUUGGUUGAACUUUCAUACAGAUUGUAUGUCCUGUUAUACUUGGUUAUCGAUAUGCUAUGGUCAAAUAAUCAAUGUUUUUGUGCCUUUUUUUACAGAAUAACAGCAUAGACAUGGAAAGAGAAUGCAUCUUCAAAGCAGUGUGUGUAUACUUAAAGAAGGACCAUCUACAGCUGUUCAAGGUGUACAAUAAAACGUGCAAAUACUGAGUUCUCUUUCAAGUCUUGUGCUUCAGAGGCCAAAUUCAUACAAAAAUUAUAUCAAUAUGCCCAUCUUGGAUUGCGACUGGAUGAAUGCUAAAGAAGCCAUAGAGCAGAUGGUAAUGGGGAUCUACAUCUUCCGAUCCACAGGACACCAACCAGGAGAUAAACCUGUGGACGUUGGUAUCCUGAUUGAAGGGACUGAGGUUCUCUGCUUUUUGAAGAACGUAGCUGUAGCAGUGACCAUGCUGUUUGGACUUAGUUACGCCUUGAACCACAGCUACCCACAAGAACUCAAGGCUUUAUUUGAGGUCAUCCAGAAAUUGUUUUUUAUCUUGGAUGGACAAAAACUUUCACCAAAGGUACAAGCCCUCAAGAACAAGAUGCUGGAGUAAGUUUCCUUAUGUGUGUAUUCUCAAAAGACUAAAUCUUGACUCAAGAAGGUAUUAGCUGUGCAUAUACAUUGAAAUAUCAGUAUUGUUCAUCUUGGAUGAUAUUUUUUUGUAUUUUUUCACCUGAAAAUUUGCUUUGAAAUAAGGAUAAAGAGAAACUUGUGACAUUCACUUUGAGAACAUUUUAUUUGUGCAUUA